CCCGGGCCUGGGACCCCGCGGCACCCCUCGGCCUCUGAGCAGCGAGCGCAGCGCCGCCUCUGAAGGGCUGAUCUAUUCAGGAUGGGAAACCACGCAGGCAAGCGAGAGUUAAACUCCGAGAAGACCAAUACGAACUUAGCAGAACCCAAGAAGGAAAGGGUGCCAGCUGCCCUGGAGAACCCAGGGACAUGCCUCAGCACCAGGAGGGGACAGGCAAGACCCGCCCACAGAGGGACACCCGCAGUCUUUGCCUGUCCUUAGGACAGAAGACAUUUGGCUUCCCUAGCCACCAGAGGAACUCGUUACCUUUUGGCAGUGUGAAUCAAGGGGGUUGGGUGACUGCCUUUGGAGGAUCAGCCAGUGCUCAGAACACUACCUGCGUCCUUAGCCAGGCUGCUUGCAGCUUCUCCCUCUCAGCGUUCUCUGAAUGCUGUGGAUCUGAUGACCUGUGGGCUUGGUCUUUGGGGUUUUCUGGUGAUAGCUAAGCUUCCUGGGGAUGAUUCGCUACGUGUUAAAAGCACCAAACAAGGCCAAGUGCGGUGGCCCGUGCCUGGAAUCCCAGCACUGUGGGAGGCUGAAGCAGGUGGAUCGCUUAAGCCCAGGAGUUUGAGACCAGCCUGGACAACAAAGUGAGACCCUGUCUCUACAAAACAAAUCAAAAAAUGAGCCAGGCAUGGUGGUGUGUGUCUAUAGCCUCAGCUACUCAGGAGGCUGAGGUGGGAGGAUCACCUGAACCUGGAGGAGUCAAGGAUACAGUGACUCAUGGUCACACCACUGCAUUGCAACUUGGGCAACAAAGUACAACCCUGUGUCAAAAAAAAAAAGCAAAACCCGCAUGCACACACACAAACACACACACACACACACACACACACACACACACACACCACCUAUCAAGGCCAGCACUUGCACUGUAUGAGUGCCUCUGUGAGCCAGGGACUUCGCAGACAUUGUCUGCAUUGUGUGUUGCACCAGUUCUGGGGCUGCCACAACAAACAGCACAGACUGGGUGGCUUCAGCCACAGUCCCGAAGACCGAAAAUCCCACAUCGAGGUGCCAAGGGCUGGUUCCCUCCGAGGCCUCUCCUCUGCUUGCAGGUGGCAUCCCCUCUUACGUCCUCCAGUGACCGUCCCUGUGUGUGUGUCUGUGUCCUCAUCUCUACUUAGAAGGACACCCUCACGUUGGAUCAGGGCCACCCUACUCCAGCGGGACCUCAUCUUCAUGUCAUGACCUCUUCAAAGGCACCAUCUCCAAACAGUCAUGUGGCGAGGCAGUGAGGGUGAGGACAUCAGCGUGUGGCUUCGGGAGGAGCACGGUUAAGCUUAUCACAUGUGUUAUUCACCUGAGCAGCGGCUGCACAGUUCGAGAGACUAGAGAAGGAGAGCGCUGGGAUUGGCAUUUGCUCCACGUCUGAUGCCUCCUGGGGAAGGGACUCCAUACCGGCUGUCUCUGCCCUGUCCUCAGAGACAGCAGAGCUGGUUUCUCUUCUGUGGACUUGGGUCGGGCGCUUCCUGUGCAAGCUUCCUUCUUCCUGCCUCCUGCCGUGGGCCCCUCCCAGGGCAGGCGGGCACCUGCAGAGCACUCAUCUCCCCGUGCUGACUCAUGGCUUUUAGCAGUCCUCUCCAUGCUUAGGACCCUCCAAGGAUCGUGUUCAUUCUCCCAGGGACUGAGACUCAGAGCUGGGUUGGGCCUGCCCAAGGCCCGGUAGCAAAUGGAGGGGAAGCCAGAGAGCAAAGCCAGGCCUGGAGCCCCAGGUCACACAGCCACACAGAAACAAUGCCCGCAUGGAAGUGUACAUCUUCUAGUGGACACAGAACAUGUAGGAAGACACAGGUGAAAUCAUUUUAAUGUCAUGUCAUUUCUUUAACCUAAGAAACCCCAAAUGUCAUGUAAGCACAGAAUCCACAUAAAAAUUGUUCAUGAAAUGGUUUAUAAUUCUUUUCUCAUGAAGUCCUCACACUCCGAGAUAUAUUUUAACUCAUGGUGCAGUGUGGCCUGGCAACGUCUCAGGUGUUUGGUGGACACACGUGGCUGGGACCCCAGGUCUGGGCAGCACAGCUCCACCCCUGGCUGUGCCCACACACCCUGCCAUCUAGCCGGGCAGAACAUGCUGAGACCCACCCCCCCGCCCAGAAUAGUGUACGUCACCCGGUUCACCAUCCCCUUUGUGCACGGUACCCAUUGGUUGAUAAAUAAGCAAUUUCUAAAGAAGACAGAAAAAAAUGUAAAUUACCAAUAUUUUUCCCUGAGAGAUGCUUACAGGUCCAGUUUUUCACACACUCCACCUCCCCUUGUAUGAAAUGAGUUGGGAUUGAUAAAGAUGAGGAGGGGAAGAGGUUGUGGGGGAGGAUGGAGUGGAGGGGAGAGAAGUGGAGAAGAGGGAGGGAGAAGGAAGAGGAGGAGGGAAAAGGAAGAGGGGGAAGGAAGAAGGGGAGGAAGAGGAGAGGGAGGAGCAGGGGAAUGGGCCCGGCCAGUAAACGCAGUUCUGAGGGCUGCCAUUGCGGAGAAGGAGCCAGGAACGGCCCAUUUAUAUCUGCCCAGACUCAGGGGCAGUUUUGUGCCAGUGCGAGUGAUGUUUGCCAAAGUGUGCCCAGUCCCAGGUCCCGCUCUGCCCUUCCUUGGCGGUGCCUCAGAGCCCUCCAAGCCCAUAUGGCAACACAGAGGGACCUCAGCCCAGGUUCUGAACCAAGAGCCGUGGCGGAGCCCUGCAGGUGUCAUGAUAUUUAUCAACUUGCCUUGUCCCGAAUUUUCUCUAAUGGCAGACAGCCUGUUUCUAGUUCGUGAGUGGAUCGGUUGUGCUCUUUACCAGUGCAGGUGAAAAUUAGCUGUUUAGGACCAAAAGGAAUGUUUCAAAGGUUAGUUUGUUCAUUCCUGCAUGCAUGCAUCCCUACACAUACACACCAUAAAUACUUUUUAUUAAAUGCCUGCUCCGCACAGGACACUGUGAUAAACGUUGUAAAUGAAAACUUUGGCUUCACACCAGCUACUUAGGGGAUCUUGGGCAAGUUGUUUUCUCUCUGCUCACUUAAGACGAUACAUGGUAGGAUGCUAACACCAUGUAAAGUGAGUCCGCGUGUGUGGUGCCCUUAGAACAGCCCCUUGUACAGAGCAAGUGGUAUGUGUUGUUUGCUGUUAGUCAUUUUCUUCUUCUUGCUAUUGCGAAAGAAAAGCAAGUCCCUGUAUCUGUCCUCAGAAUAGCUCGCAGUCUAAUCAGGAGACCAACAAAAUUAUGAAACCACAUUCAGAGCAGGAUGGAUAUGCAGGAUGGAAGCCGGGCUCCCUGGGGCUGUGGAGCCCUCAGGCUGUCAGGAGAAGCUGCAGGGAGGGCUUGCAUCAGAGGGAGAGACGGGGGUAUCCUUCCCCAUUUCCCAGUGUUGAGACAAGCAUAAACAAAUCUUUAAAUACUGUACUUUUAAAAAAUAUUUGAUCUGGGGCACCUGCUGCAAACCUCUCCCACUCAGGAUCAUCACGGUGGUAGGGUCUGGGUAUCCCCCAACACCGGCUCCACCCAGUCCAGCUUUACCCCAGAAGAGCUCUGCCUUCCAAAACGCCUGGCUCUGCAGACACAUCCAAAUGCAACUCACAGAGCGAUUGCUGCGAGACAGCCACCCUUUGUGAUGAAUCCACGCCACCAUCUGGGUGGCUGGCGGCUCUUUAUGCAUCUCAAUUUCUGAGAGGAUGCCCGCUGGGCGAGGCUGCAAUUUAACACAGGUUGGAACCGUCUCAGGCUGUGUGGAGGACGUCUGGCUCUGCAGAUGGCCCUGGCUGAGACUCUGUCUCCCGAGGGUAGCUGCACUCCCGGUGAAUCCUGGAAGCACUAAGCUCCCUGCUUCCCUAGGGCAUCGCCCGGAGCAGCACUGUCCUGCGUAAAAGAGUGCCAGUGGCAUCUUUUGUUAAGUUGAGGAGAUGGUGACUGGUAGCUGAGAGGUAGGGAGACCAUCAGGAGAGCUAAGCAGGGAGAAGGUCCCAGGAGGAGAAAGUUGUCCACAACAGGAAGACCUAGCAGAGGGGUCCCCUCUGCCCGGCCCCUCCAGACCCCAUCUUCACAGGGCGGAGAGCUGGGGUCCCAGCAUCUGUGAGCCAUGACCUUUAGGAAUUCACCUGAAUGAUUACCCAAAGGAUCUGGGGGAUCCCCUGCCCCGAGCUGGCCCACAGUGGGGCUCACUCAUGUUACACAGUUGGGGGUUGUCAAUGAAGGUUCCGAAACAGGCCUGGUCUCUGGGGACCCUGUACUCUUCCCCAGUGCUCUCUGCUCCCCCACUUCCCACCAACCCAAAGGAGUGGGGUUUGUAGUACCCCGAGUUAUCUGUCAGCAUUUGAAUUCUUUCACUUUGGUUUCGUGAACACUGUCUCAAUUCACAGGGGAAUGAACUUGGAGAGGUCUAAAAAACCUUAUUAUUUAUUUUUCUCAUGUGAAACUCACAAGGCUUGCUAAUUAGAAGCAAUAAGCCCAGAACCUUAAGAAAUGAAGACCACCUGUAGUUUAUCUUCACACACUUUUACACUGCCCAAAAUGGGUGAAAUCAAUUGGUAAGCUCCUAAAACAUUCCAAAACCUAACAAGCAAUAAUAUCUAAAAACCUGCUUUCAUCUGUGGGUGGACUAAGAAAAGGGAGCCUCUGGGCUUUCCCUGGUAAUAUCUGGCUCAGAAAGGUUCUACAAAGAUGCCUAGCCAUGUUUCGGGAUUUCUCUUAUUUAAUCAGCUUAAGAAAAAAGAUGCCAUACUUAAAAAUAAGGUCUGAGAGCUGCCAAAAUCGUACCUAAAUUUUACAGUGGGGAGUGACUGAUUGGUCUGUUUGGUGUUCCAGAUUCCACUGAUCUUUUUAUUUAAGCUGCACGUCGAAUCCAAGUACAGGCAGGAGCAGUGAGGCACCCGCUCUGCGCCUCUCAGGGAUUGUCACGCCCGCUGCAGAAUCCGCUCUGUAUUUAACUAUCAUCAAAACCCAACUCUUUCUUGAUGACAUUCUCCAGAUACUAUUAAAAUGACAUUCUGAGAAAUGAGACAUUUAGUUUGCAAAUACACACAAAGGCAUUGAAGCAAUUCAGCCCCUUCCAUCAACAUGUAAAUAGCAUCUUUCACUUUGAUGGGAAAAACACUUUUCCUUUAAAACUACUGACAGCCCAGCUGUGGAGUGUCACUGACUUUUUACAACUAGGAGUUAUUUUCUCACGGCCAUUCCUUUAUGGAGUCAUAAAUCCUGCAGCAUUUUAUCCUACGUGCAGGAGACGGUUAGGGUAUUUAACAUCUUUAGUGAGUUCCGUUCUGGUCAUGCCAUCCUCAGGAAUGAAAGAUGGUUAUACUUCGAGCCAUCACUAGCUCACAGCUGCUUUAUGCAGUCAUCUCUCUCCACGGUAAAAUUAAGUCCAGUGAGCGUGAACUUUGUUUUUGCUGACGGAGGUAUCCUCAGGCCCAAGUAGUGCGUGCACAUAGGGGCUGCUGACGGUGAGGACUCGUUAAAGGAAAGAAUCCUAACCACCCAGGGUGUCUACGGAACAUCUCCAGACAUUGUCCUGCCACAGGUCUGGUAGCGACAAGACUGGGUGACAUCUGAGGACACAUUGCAAAGGGGGCAGGUAGCCGUCCAUCCUCCCUUGGAGAGGAGCAGAGGCGGGACUGAAGCCCAGACCCUUCAAACCUCCAAGUCCAAUGUUCCGUUUUUCCCUCCCUCACACUUCCUCUACAAUUACGUGCUGAAACCGACCCGUCACCAUAAAGGGAAGACAGAUCACUCAAAAAGUCAAUUCCUUCCAGUCAUCCAAACCCACGCCUGGCUUGCUGUGACACAGCUGUCAAGCCAUUGGGCUCCACGCUCCCCGGGAAACCUGCCUUUCUCAUCUGACUGCAGUGUGCUGGCAAUUGUCAGAUCUAUACGUGUAAAAUUUCUAUUUUAUAGUAAGUCACAUCAGCAGAUUGAGAACUCGUGUAAUUCUUAAAUUAGUUGUUUAAUAUGUUUUAAAAGCUUAGGGAACUGAAAAGUAGGGGUAAAGACACUCACCAAUCUAGUCUGACCCUUGGAUACGUGGAAGUAGUGAGCAAUGCCUAGAAAAUUCUUAGAGUCUAUGGGUGCAGGCAGGCUUUCUAUUGUACCUUAUCUUCAGCAGAGUUUAGAGCACUUUUACAUACACAACAAACCUCUAGAAGGCUCCCCUUGAACUCAACAGCAGAACGUUAGACGAUCUCUUAGCAGGUAGACAGCAGACGAUCUCUUAGUAGGUAGACAGCAGGCGGUCUCUUAGUAGGUACACAGCAGGCGGUCUCUUAGUAGGUAGACAACAGGCGAUCUCUUAGUAGGUAGACAGCAGGCGAUCUCUUAGUAGGUAGACAGCAGGCGGUCUCUUAGUAGGUAGACAGCAGGCGGUCUCUUGGUAGACAGCAGGCGGUCUCUUAGUAGGUAGACAGCAGGCGAUCUCUUAGUAGAUAGACAGCAGGCGGUCUCUUAGUAGGUAGACAGCAGGCGGUCUCUUAGUAGGUAGACAGCAGACGAUCUCUUAGUAGGUAGACAGCAGGUGGUCUCUUAGUAGGUAGACAGCAGGCGGUCUCUUAGUAGGUAGACAGCAGGCGGUCUCUUAGUAGGUAGGCACACACGACGUAGUGACAGCUCCCACCUGCUGGCAGCUCCAUCCGGACACUCGGCUGUAGCACCGGCCAGUGGGACUUUCUGCAGUGAUGGGAAUGUUCUGUAUCUGGGCCUCCUGGAAACACGUUAGCCUGUAGACACCUGUGGCGCACAGCACAUGAGAUGAGACCCGUCCAGCUCAAAGACUGUUUGUAAUGUCCUUUAUUUUUAAGUAAUUUACAUGGAAGCGGCCACAGUUGCGAGCGGCUCCCCGUGCGACAGCAGAGCUCUCCCGUGUGCUGGCUGUGGCGACCCCUUAUUCUCCUACAGCCCUACCAGAUAGGUGUUAGCUCCGUCUGUCAAUGAGAAAAACUGGGGUGUUUCCCAAAAUCACAUGAAAGUUAAUUUUGAAUUCAGAGGUAAAGCUCUCUGAAAAACACACAGUUGUUAAUGCCCCAAAUUGAAAAGGACAGCGCUGGUGUGCGGUGGAGCACGGCACAAGUAUAAACGUGAGCUGUCCUGUGCUCACCUCGAUGUGGGGCAGCCGGGCAGACCUCAUCCAACACAGCGCGCCAGUGAAGCGCCCCCGCUAAGACAUGCCUCCCGCAGAAUCCUGCCCUUAUCAGCAACAGAACUUGACGGGGUUACUUCGCCCUCCGAAGCCCACCUUGCUGAUUUGCUUAGUGCUUCUAUAAAACUCAUUGCACUCCUAAAAAGAAUAAAACAAUAUGGAAAAGGUAUCCUUUUAAAGAUACCCUUUAGGCCAGAUGCGGUGGCUCAUGCCUGUAAUCCCAGCACUUUGGGAGGCCAAGGCGGACGGAUCAUGAGGUCAGGAGUUGGAGACCAGCCCGCCCAACAUGACGAAACCCCAUCUCUACUAAAAAUACAAAAUAAUGAGCUGGGCGUGGUGGCGCGUGCCUGUAAUCCCAGCUACUCAGGAGGCUGAGGCAGGAGAAUUGCCUGAACCCAGGAGGCGGAGGUUGCGGUGAGCCGAGAUUGCGCCAUUGCACUCCAGCCUGGGUAACAAGAGCGAAACUCCGUCUGAAAAAAAAAAAAAAAUUAGCCUGGUGUGGUGGCACGUGCCUGUAGUCCCAGCUACUCGGGAGGCUGAGGCAGGAGAAUCACUUGAACCUGGGAGGUGGAGGUUGCAGUGAGCCAAGAUUGUUCCACUGCACUCCAGCCUGGCGACAGAGCAAGGCUUCAUCUCAAAAAAAAGAGAGAGAGGCCCAUUAAAACCAUGAAUAUUCAAUAACCUGGUUAUAGUUCUGGAAACCGCAAGUGGGUCCAUGUGUCUGAGAGCUAGCAUAAGGCAUGGUUCUGGCGUGGUUUUAUGAAACUGGGUUUGCGGCAGGAGCCAGCAGCCUCCAGGCCGCUGGGCAGGGUGUCCUGCCCCCACCUCCACCAUGAAGCAAUGGCAGUGCCCGCUCAUGAGAAUGUCUCGUGAAUGUUGCGUUCGAGAUGCAGAAUUUCUUUCUGAUGUUGGAGAACAUCAGAGGUUUACACCUGAUGGCAGCCUCUUAAAUGGCUUGGGUCACUCAUGGUUUUGCUUCUGGAGGGGAUUCACAAAGGAAGUCUGGCAUCGUGCUUUCGUGGGAGCACAGCUGAAGGUCUGCUGGUUUCUGAGAUAUGGAAGUGGGCAUUUUGCUUCCUCUGAUAAACUGGUGACACCAGUACCUUUGUUAUGUCGAAAUAUGAUGAUUAAAGACAUAAGGCAUAAUUAGCAAGUGGGGCAGCUGCUCCACAUCCUUUAUUAAAAAUAAUGUGGGGGUGAGCAUGAAGUAGGCCUGGGGCCAUAUAAACCCACAGGGCUCCACACGCCCGCACCUGUGAACAUGCCUGACCUGAGGCUCUCUCCUCGUGCCGGCUUCUCUCUCCUCGUGCCGGCUUCUCUCUCCUCGUGCCGGCUUCUCUCUCCUCGUGCCGGCUUCUCUCUGCUGCAGCUCCCAGACCCAGCUGUGGUCAUCCCCCUCCAGGUGGCCCCUGGGUCCCACGUGUUAGCCUCUCUCCAACCGGUUCCCUGAUGCUCCCAGAGAGCCAGCCCAGCCUCAACCCCAGGUCUGGCUGAGGCUGACGGCUCCAGCGCAGGUUCCGGGGGUGGAGGGGGACACUCAGGCACCAGGGUCACGUGCUCUGUUCUUUGGCCCACAGCAGGGGCAUCCUCAGCCUGGGAGUUAGCUUAGCAACAGAGGCUUCAUCAGAAACUAUGACCCAGUUUGCAAGCAGCGGACUUUAAACAGACUUUGGGAGCACAAAAGUGAAUGCAGGUUGCUACAUGUAAGUGAUAGAAACAUAACAUCAGUUCUUUGUGUGAGGUCAGAAGCAGCGGCAUACACACGCAGGGCGGGUGUGUUCCACACUGAGCCCACUGAGCCGGCCAGCAGACUGGUCUCGUCCUCGCCACAGACUGUACUGGGGGUGAGGGGCUGCUGAAGGAAAUGGCCAGUUUCGUGAGAUGAGUAGCCCACUCCUCCGAGGAGUCUGGCUGGUGUGUCCUCUUGUUUUCAGCUGGACUCUAAAGCUCCCCUCUCUUCUUUCUUCCUUCACUGAUGGGGUUCCCCGAUUGCAUCCCUGCCUCUGUAACUCUAAGUGACUCGACAAGAUCUGGCAGCAGGGAGGCCAGGGAAGGGAGGAUCUCAGCCUGUGUCAAAGACACCACGAACCCGGCAGAGCAGGGCUGAUGUCAUGGAACAGGGUUUGAGGGUGGAAAGUGUGUGAGUUGUGGCGGGUGUUCAUCUGAACCUGGAGAGCGCGGUGCUGAGUGCGGCCCCACCGAAUUCUGUCCAUCAGUCAUGGGUGACUUCCCUGUCAGUGUUGCCGUGACGCCGCUCCUUCCUGGAAGAGGGGCUGGGUUUCCUGGGGUGGGAGGCAUUACGUGCCCUCCUGCAGAUGCUCCCUCAAGGGGCAGAGGGUGCAGCAUGACGGGGAAUCGCCUCUAGUCACUGGUCUGCGCUCAGCUCAGCGCUGACCACCGCCCCAGGCGUACGUGAGGCACCACACUGUGCCGGGUCGGUUCAGAAACGCCGCGUGUCAUUCCAGCUGUGCAGACGGGUUUAUUUUAGACUCUGGAAGUGGAAAGCAUGCACUUUCGUCUAAAAUCUGUGUUCGCUGUUAUUAGGAAAGAACUUCUUUAUAUUUAAUAAAGUGCACUUAAAAUGUUUGAAAUGAAAUACAACCUGAAAAAUGCAGUUUUCAGAAUCAUGUUUGCUAUCCUUCCACAAUCUGGUUUUCAAAGUUCAAAUUCGGCAAUGAGACUUCUUAUAUGAUGGAAUAUGUUUGUAAAAAGUGUAUCUCCGUGUUUGUAAAUGUGCAUAUGUGGGGGUGUGUGUGUACAUGUGUGGGUGUGUAGGACUGUGUGGUGUCUAUACACAUAUGGGGGUGUGUGUGUGUGUGUGUGCCUGUGUAUAUGGUGUGUAUACAUGUAUGGAGAUGUGUGUGGUGUGUAUAAUGUAUGUAUGUGGUAUGUGUACAUGUUGGGGGUGUGGUGUGUAUAUGUAGUGUGUUUUAAUGUACUGGGAUGUGUGAUGUAUGGGUGUGUGUGGUAUGUAUACAUGCAGGGGUGUGUUCUGUGGUGUGUAUACAUGUAUGGUGAUGUACAUGUGUGGUAUGUAUGUGAUGUUUUUUCAUGUAUGGAGAUGUGCAUAUGUUGGGAGAUGUAUGCAUGUGUGUGUGUGGUGUGUAUACAUGUAUACAUAGGGUGUGUGUGCACAUGUGUUCGUGUGUGUGUGUGUGUGUGUGUGUGUUUUCCUUGCCCUGCAGACACCAUCCCUGGUGAGUACUGUGAACGCUGUGCGGCCCCUCCCCUCGCUCAACCCCAGCUCUGCACCUGGGUGGUUCCUGCCCAUCAUUCUCCUCACUCCAGUUUGAUUCCUGCAUUAAUCUAAUUAUCAUAUUUUUCAGUGUGAUUAUCACAUAGUUAUAAAUAAAAUUCAGUAUUACAUUUCUGCAACCUUUGAUACUUGGAAAACAGAGUCCUUGUUACUUAACAAUUUAUUAAAUAUUUAACUAACUAGUUGCUUGAAUGUGUCCUAGAUUAUGCUUGAGCACAAUUCAUGUAGAACCAAGCAGAAUCUGUAGGUCAGGCGACUUGGUAGUCAUACUAAUUACCCACAGUGAUUUAGGUUAAGUGCAAUGUAGAUUAUUGUUAGAUGUGUGUGCGGCCUCACUCUACUAUCUCAGAGUUGCAUUAAGGCACUUAACAAAAUACCAGUGUCUAGAAAUGUCAAUGUACAGGGCUGGCUUGUAUGUUGUUCUCAAAUGUGUAGAGAGGAAUUGACCUCAGUUUGAGGGAUGUCCUGUGAGCUCAGCCCCAGGCUCACUCUCUGCCCUCUCUCAGCAGGCCUGAGCUGCACUGCCACCUCCUCCUGCCACCUCUCUGCCAGCACAGGGGCUCUUCCUCCCUUCCACCCUGCCAGGCCCUGGUCCUGGCCCUGUGUGAGGUUGUCCCUUCUCAUCUCCUCCCAGGGGAACGAGGGCAGAGCCAUUUAGGUCGAGACAACCCAGUGGUCCUGCAGAUAGGCAGGAGGGGCACAGCAGACACAGUGCCAGAGGGCGUGGCUUCAGAGAGGAGAGUCCACCAUGAGCCUGCACUGCACCAUCCUGGGAUCAGUAAGACGAGGCUGAGAAGGGGCGGCCUGUGAGCCGGGAGGAUGGGAAGGGAAUCGUGUCCAGAGUGAGGUGUUAGGAAAUGUCUCACCAAGGAGAGAGCAUGGGGCCAUCAGACACCCGGAGUCUAAGAGAGAUGGAGACUGAGGACUGGCAUUGCGGGGGCACCUGGAGGUCACGGCUGUGGGGACAGAGCCGCUUCGGCGGUGAAAACCCGGUCAGUGUCAGCUGGCGAGGAGACUGGAUUGGUGUAUGGAAGGCUGUUUUGAGGAGUUCUGCUAUAAAGAGGAGUUGAGCCUCAGAGCGGUGUCUGCUGAAGGACGGGAUGGAAACGGGGUGGUUUGAAACGGAGCGUGGAUAGCAGGUUGUCGGCCGAGGCAAACGCUAGGAUGAGAGUCCACAGGGAAGGCUCUGAGUUUAAUUUAGUAACGUUAAUUUCAUGCUAGCUGGAGUUGUGACUGUUUUGAAAAGGAGGAAAAUGUUUGUCUCAACGUCAAGCAAUGGGGACUAGAAGUUACCAGGUGACCCCAGGGCUCUCGCCAAGGCUGGUUUACAUCUUCCUUUAAGGCAAAGGCCCUCUGACAGGUGGACCUCCACUGCAUCUGCUGAGCAGGGGAGCGCAGGCCACUUGGCACAGAGGGCCGCUGCCUUCGGCCGCACCUGAGACACUGCGGUCACAGUGUAGUCAGUCCCGCCCAGGCUGGGAGGUGUGCUGGCAGCACCGUCUGCUCUGUGAGUAUCUAACUGUCAUGCACUUGCCAGGGACACAGCUGAAGAUGCCAUUUGAGGCAAUGUGAGGACCACCCUGAGCCCUGGUUUAGGAAUGCGCACCUUGGAGUCAGGGCAGGAAGAGACGAGGGUCUGAACUGACUUCUCACCUGCCUGCCUGAAAAGUACUGUAGCCUCUGAGAGCAGCUGCUCUCACAAGCUGCCACACCCUGAAUGCCUAAAACAGCAGGAAUUCAUUUUCUUAGGGACCUGGAGGCCAGAAGUCUGACAGCAAGGUGUGGGCAGGGCAUGUCCACCUGCGGACGUGAGGCUCUGCAGUCUGGUAUGGGCAGGGCAUGUCCACCUGCGGACGUGAGGCUCUGCAGUCUGGUAUGGGCAGGGCAUGUCCACCUGCGGACGUGAGGCUCUGCAGUCUGGUGUGGGCAGGGCAUGUCCCCUGUGGAGGUGAGGCUCUGCAGCCUGGUGUGGGCAGGGCAUGUCCACCUGCGGACGUGAGGCUCUGCAGUCUGGUGUGGGCAGGGCAUGUCCCAUGUGGAUGUGAGGCUCUGCAGCCUGGUGUGGGCAGGGCAUGUCCCCUGUGGAGGUGAGGCUCUGCAGCCUGGUGUGGGCAGGGCAUGUCCCCCUGCGGAGGUGAGGCUCUGCAGCCUGGUGUGGGCAGGGUCCCUAAGGGAGGCAGAGGCUCUGCUGGAGAAGCCCCCUGGGCUUCUGGAGGCUCCUGCCACAGUUUCCCCGCCUUGAGGCUGUGUCCCUUUGUCCUUCCAGGCUCCGCCCCUGCCUUCUUCUCCCUGCCUCUCCUCUUCUUUCUGUAGCUCUGCCUUCUCUCCUGCUUAGCAGGACACCAGUCAUUGGAUCUAGGGCCUACCUGGAUAACCUGGUCUGGUGAGGGAGGAAUUUCUGCCCUAGGGCCAUGCGAUGGCUGCAGACUUGACACCUGACACUGGCCAGGUGAGAUGUGAGUCACUCUACUCACUGCCCCAGGGAGGAAGACAGGGCCUGCCAGGCAGGGCCACACAGGGGUCACACCUAGGAUUGGAAUGAAAGCCCAGCGGCUGUGGAGCGCAGGCUGUGUAGUAUGAAGGCAGAUGCCCUGUGUCCCGUGGGAGGAUGUGAUGGGCUAUGUGAAUAAUUCUGUCAGCUGGCAGCGAACCAAGGCCUGUGACGCAGGGUGAGCCCCACUGUGCCUGGCCCUGUGACAAGGCGGAUGAGUGGCCGGGGCCUCGUCCCCGGAGGGGUUGGGGUGUGUGUCCACACGCAGACUCAGGCCUUGAUUUUCCGCCUUGUACCCCAGGCUGCUCUCAUCUGGAGAUCCUUACCUCAUUACUUCUGCAAAGACUCUUUCCAAAUAAGGCCACCUUCAAGCUGUGAGGGGUUAGGACUUGCACAUAUUAUUUUGGGGCAAAAAAGGACCCAACGCACUGCAGGGAUCAUUGCUGAUUUGAAUAUAAAUGUGGAUUUCUAAAGUUUUAUUCAAAAAAAAGUUUUUUAUCCUACUGAUUGGUCUUUUGUAUUAUUAUAAAAACCAUAGUUUGUUGUAGAGAAAUAAAACAAAGAAGCACCCAGAAAACCUGUUUAGUCUCUAAUAAUGGCAAGUUCAACCAAUACUAAUGAUUUAGAAUAUCUCCAAAGCUUUUUAAUCUGCAUGUGGUGAUUUUUAUAUGAAGCAUCUUGCCAGAAUCCUGUUUCCUUUUAUGUUUUUUGUUUUUUUGUUUUUUGAGACGGAGUUUCGCUCUUGUUACCCAGGCUGGAGUGCAAUGGCGCGAUCUCGGCUCACCGCAACCUCCGCCUCCUGGGUUCAGGCAAUUCUCCUGCCUCAGCCUCCCGAGUAGCUGGGAUUACAGGCACGCACCACCGUGCCCAGCUAAUUUUUUGUAUUUUUAGUAGAGACUGGUUUUCACCAUGUUGACCAGGAUGGUCUCGAUCUGUUGACCUCGUGAUCCACCCGCCUCGGCCUCCCAAGGUGCUGGGAUUACAGGCGUGAGCCACCGCGCCCGGCCUCCUUUUCUGUUUUAAUGUAAGAAGGUGGUGGGUCUGUGAGAACAUUGGAAACUGAGCGCAUGGCAUCCGGGUGCCCCUAACAAGCUCGGCCCCAACAUUCCCCGCUCGGCACCUUACACCCAACGUGGCAGUGUUAGCAGGCGAGGUCUUGGGGUCGUGGCUAAGUCCACAGGCACCUCCUUCAUGGAUGGGUCCUGGCCUCAGUCAAAGGGCCGGGGACUCCCUCGCCCCUUCUGCUGGACUCGACGCAGCUGAGGGAUGCCCGGGCCCUCACCGGCGCCACCUCUUCCCGGCCUGCAGAACCCGGAGGAAGCGGGUUGUGCGGCUGACGAAGCACCCAGGCUGCAGUGUUUGGUCACAGCGGCCUCGGCACUGGAAGACGCGCCCUGGAGGCCCCAGGGUCUCUGCAGGUGACAACUGGCCUCGGAGCCCGCGGGUGUGGCCUGGAGGACACGGCUGCCUCGCCUGGGCUCAGAGGGCGGGAACCCGCCUGUUCCUCCGCUCCCCAGGCGCGGCGUGGACACAGUCGGUGGAAGUCCCCGAAGACUCGCCCGUCCCUUGUCCCCGUCCCGGGGCGCUGGCGGUGGCCCCCCAGGAAGCAAGAGCGGGAAGCAGGGAUCCCACCCCAGGGCGUCAGUCCCGGGACGGUCCCCACAGUGACCCGGGUGAGGAGAAGGCCCGACCCAGCGCCUGCCCGGAAGGAAGAAACCGGCCUGGGAGGAGCUGCCCAGGUCCCCACAGACGCCUGGCGCUCCCCACCCCGCACCCUCGCCCACUCCUGUCUCCCCUCCCCUGGCCUCCCUGCUCCCUUCUCCCCUCUGGUCGCCUCCCCUCCCCUUCCCUCCCCUCUCCUCCCCUCCUCUCCCCUCUCCGUCGCCCCCCCCCCGCCACGCCCCUCCCCUGGCCUCCCUGCUCCCUUCUCCCCUCCCCGUCCCCUCUCCUCUCCUCCCCUCCCCUCCCCUCCCCUCCCCUCCCCUCCCCUUCCCUGGCCUCCCUGCUCGCUUCUCCCCUCCCCUCCCCUCCCCUCCCCUCCCCUCCCCUGGCCUCCCUGCUCGCCUCCCCCACCUCCUCCUGCAAUGUUUGCCUCCAACCUUCGCUAGAUUCCCACGCAGGCCUCACCCUGCAGCGCAGAAGCCAUGUGACUCUGCCUGCUCUAGAGUGAAUGGACCGGGAGCAGGAGGGAGGGAGGGAGGGAGCCUCUGCGCUCUGGCCCCAUCUGGCCGCCUCCUUGGGACCCUGCGCUGAGGGUGGCCAGAGCAGAAAAAAGAAAAAGCAGGGCGGGGGUGGGGGGGGAGUACACAUGUCUCAUUUUCUUUGAAAAGUAACUAAGGCCCCAUAAAUGUUGGCCUUUUUCAGGGGCCAGGGAGGUCCUGGCCCCGCCGGUGAGUGCGAAGGGCGCUUGUUCUCCCACCCGGCUCCGCGCUGAUUUUCCCCAGGGCAGAGCGCGCCCACGGGGUGAGUUCCCGCCUCCUGGAUGGUCAGGAGUCCCUCCCUCUCUCCCUUUGCAGUGGCGAGGACUCUGCGUGUGCUUUGCAUCCAAAAGCAUGUGCCUUCGAUUAUUUUUUCUAUUGAAUUAAUAAAGGACCUGUGGUGACUGAUAAAGCGUUUAUUUUUAUACUUUUCAUAUAAAACAGAUUGAAUAUAACAUUUGGUGGCCCGCCUAUUCUUCCUGGUGGCAGUUUUAGUCUUUUAAAAAGUGGUUUAUGGCAAUGCAUUCUUUUUUUUUAAUUGCAUUUUAGGUUUUGGGGUACAUGUGAAGAACAUGCAAGAUAGUUGCAUAGGUACACACGUGGCAGUGUGAUGUGCUGCCUUCCUCCCCUUCACCUAUAUCUGGCAUUUCUCCCCAUGCAUUUCAAAGUGAAAUAUGACACGGUGUCUGGAGAACAUUCCAGGGGCAGAUACUGCUUGCUUUUCAUGAGCCCUUCUUAAGACAGACUUUUCCUGUCGCUGCUGGAGUACAAAAUACUCAGUUCUGUUUAGGAACGUUGUAGCUCAUGCCUUUUUUGGCAACUUCUCAACAUUGAAAAGAAAAUCAAUUUUUUAUGAUUUGUUCUUGAGCAUGUAAUAAUGUGCAUUAAACUCUAAACACUAGGAAAUUGAUUUUUCUUUGAAGUCGUAAUUCCCUUAGCGCUUAAAACAAGUAUUGUUUGAUGAAUGACUUAGAGAAAACCAUCAUUCCUGCAUAGCUUAGUUGUCCUGUGACCUACGAGAAUGAGUUGAAUGCUCCAAAGAGAGGUUUUUCAAAGGAUUUUUAUGACUUACGUCUUCAUGAAACCAUAUUCCAACUUGAUUUUAUUACCAGCUACAAGACUAGAGAAAAUCUGUGGCCUGAAAAACAUUUCUCUGGAAUGUGGAGUUUUGGAGAGUAUCCUAUUCAGACUCCUGAAAUGAGGAAUUGUUCUUAAUAGAUCUUGGUGAUUGGCAUCUAUAAGCACUUAUAUGCAUGGAAUUCUUGGAACAUAUUCGGUUUAUUAAUAAAGUCCAGGUGACUAAUUUUGCUGUUGAAUGGGUAGAAACAAGCAUUAGCCUGGUCUGGCUUUCUCCAGCUCUUAGGACAAGUUGGAACAGAUUUGCUCUUCUGAUGAUUCAUCUUUCUGAUCACAGGGAUGGCAGAACUCAGCUUUGAAGAAAGGCAUCUGCGGAGAUCAUGGCAGUUCCGUUUUGCAUUCUGAGUUUGCUCCUUUUUGUAAGAGAACCAGAAUGCAGGUGCAGUUAGAAGCAGUCUCUCUCUCUCUCUCUCUCUCUCUCUCUCUCUCUCUCUCUCUCUCUCUCUCUCUCCCCCCCCCCCCUCCCCUCUCUCCUCUCUCCUCUCUCUCCUCUCUCUCUCUCUCCCUUUCUCUCUCUCUCUCUCUCCCUUUCUCUCUCUCUCUCUCUCUCCCUUUCUCUCUCUCCCUUUCUCUCUCUCCCUCUCCCUCCUUAAACGUAUUGCACUGAUGCUCACCUUAAAACCUGGUUUUCACUUAAGAAGAUUUUAUGUCCGCCUUUCCAAAGGCCUAACUCUGGAAAGAAAUCAGAGGUGAAUGACAGCGGAAACGUGAUGGUGGUGGCUGAACUGGCUCCAUGCCAGCUGAGCACCAGAUGCUGUCAGGAGUCUUACAUGGAUGAGAUCAUGUAAGGUUCACAGUGACCCUGUGAGAUAGAAAAUAUCAUUCUGCCGGUUCCACAGUGGGAGAGAAACUACAGAGAUAAGAUUGGCAGAGCCAAGCUACACAUUGAGAAGAAGGUACCUGCUUUUCCUCCGUCACUGUCUUUUGAGCAAAGAUCUUUCUUUGUGUAUUUGACCUCUUGAGCUUCUGCCCCAUCUGUGUUAUAGGACACAAUUCAAUACAGAAACACGUGCAGGCACAGGGGAAUAUGUGCAGGGGAAUGACGUAGGACUGUUUUUGUUUAGUUAUAGAAACUGAAGGAAGUGUAUUCACCAUGAAAUUAAGAAGACGGUUUCCAUUGCAUUCUUCGGUUUGUAAUAAUGUGCAAUAUUCUUUCAAACUGAAUAAAGGCCCACAUGAAUUAGCUUUAAGUGCAUUUUAUUCCAACUUGAAAUUCACUCAACUAUCAAACUCUUAUUGUAAAAGAGCUACACUGAAUGUCCCCCCCGUUCCCCUUUCUUAAUGUGAUCUUAUUUUACUUAACCAGCUGACGGAGCAGUGGCUUCCAGGAAUAAAUGGCACCAUGUGUUCCUAAAAUAGAAGUUAGGAUGUCCAGUUACGUAACUGACCUCGAUAAACAGUCUUGUGCUGACACUGGGUAGUGUUUGCUUGGGUGUCACUUCUAGAAGACAGUGUUUAAGUAAUAUCCUGAGCACAUUUCUUUGCAUUAUGAACCUAAGUAACAAAUACUCUAAAAAAACACGUUUAUCUAGGAAUUUCAUUGCACUGGGAAUACAUGUGCCAUGGCGAACUCUGCGUGAUUCAGGGAGGUGAAGGAAGACAAAUUUUUUUUUUGAGACGGAGUUUCACUCUUGUUACCCAGGCUGGGGUGCAAUGGCUCGAUCUCGGCUCACUGCAACCUCCGCCUCCUGGGUUCAGGCAAUUCUCCUGCCUCAGCCUCCUGAGUAGCUGGGAUUACAGGCACGCACCACCAUGCCCAGCUAAUUUUUUGUAUUUUUAGUAGAGAUGGGGUUUCACCAUGUGGACCAGGAUAGUCUCAAUCUCUUGACCUCAUGAUCCACCUUUGGGUCUUGGCCUCCCAAAGUGCUGGGAUUACAGGCGUGAGCAACAAACAUUUUGAAAGGAAAAAUGAGGAGGAUGAUACAGUGUUUUGAGAUAAUUAUCCUUAGUACAAUGAUCAAUACCAAGGGUGGUGCCAGGUGGAGGCUGGAGAGGCAGUUGCUGAGCAGGUGUUCCUCACAGAAGCGUGUGUGUCUGUGUGUAUAUGUGUGUGUGUGUGUGUGUGUGUAUGUGGCUGUGAUGUAUCCGUGUGUGUGUGUCUGUGAUGUAUCUGUGUGUGUAUGUGUGUGUGAUGUAUCUGUGUGUGUAUGUGUGUGUGUGGGGCUGUGAUGUAUCUGUGUGUAUGUGUGUAUGUGUGUGGCUGUGAUAUAUCUAUGUGUGUGUGUGGCUGUGAUGUAUCUGUGUGUAUGUGUGUGUGUGUGGCUGUGAUAUAUCUGUGUGUAUGUGGGGCUGUGAUGUAUCUGUGUGUAUGUGUGUGUGUGUGUGUGUGUGGCUGUGAUAUAUCUGUGUGUGUGUGGCUGUGAUGUAUCUGUGUGUAUGUAUGUGUGUGUGUGUGUGUGUGGCUGUGAUGUAUCUGUAUGUGUGUGUGUGUGGCUGUGAUGUAUCUGUGUGUGUAUGCAUCUGUGUGUGGCUGUGAGGUAUCUGUGUAUGUAUGUGUGUGUAUGUGUGUGUGUGGCUGUGAUGUAUCUGUGUGUAUGUAUAUGUGUGUGUGUGUGUGGCUGUGAUGUAUCUGUGUGUGUAUGCAUCUGUGUGUGGCUGUGAGGUAUCUGUGUGUAUGUAUGUGUGUGUAUGUAUGUGUGUGUGUGGCUGUGAUGUAUCUGUGUAUGUGGGGGGGGCUGUGAUGUAUCUGUGUGUGUGUGUGUGUGUGUGUGUGUGUGUGUGUUUGUAUGUGGGGUUGUGAUGGCCUCUUGGUGAGGUUGUGAUUUUUGCAGUCUUCUGUAGUAGCUCUUGUUGUCAGGCUUUUGUGCAUGAAAAUUCUUCCUUCGUGGCCUUUCCUGGCUCUGUUUUUCAGCAUUUUAACCCAAGUGACUCUGUUUUGAUUCUGACAAGCUUCACAGUACCUAUUAUUUAAACACCGCCAUCUUAAUUACAGUACGAAAUGGUCUCACAGAGUGUGACUUUAAACUACAAGGGCCGUUCACUAACGUAAGUCAUGUUUUCCCGGGAACAUGGCUCCCUGAGCUCCCCCAGUGUGUGGCUCCAAACUCCCUUUCAAUAAUGCUGUGAUGAUGUUUCAUUUUUAACUACCCAUACACUGAGCAUUGAUGGGUUUUUUAAAAAAACAGCGUUAUCGAGAUGUAAUUCAAAUGACAUACAAUUCACCCACUUAAAGUUUACAGUGCCAUCUUUUUUAUUAGAUUCCUGGGUACGUGCAGCUGUCCCAACAGUCAGUCUACAACACUGACCUCACCUCAGAAAGAAACCUGUAUCCUUUACCAACCCCUCCCAUCCCCCCACAGCCCUCUGCAAUCGCUGGCUCACGUCCUGUCUCCAGGGUUCGCCCCUGAAGAUACUUCCUCUGAAUGGAAUCAUUGACGUGAUCUUUCGUGUCCAGAUUCUUUCACGCUUUCAGGGUUCAUCCGUGUUGUAGCAUAUAUCAGUGCUUUAUUCUUUUUUAUAUAUUAUAUUAAAAUACAGCUAAGUAAUAUCCCAUUGUAUAGAAUGUACACAUUUUGUUAUAUAAUUGUCUUUAUAAUAAUAUACACAUUUUGCUGACCCACUCAUCUGUCGGUAGAUGUGUGGGUUUAUAGUUUUUUUGCUAUCGUGAAUAACUCUUCCAUAAACAAAGUGCAAGUGCACCUUUUUAUGUGGACUCUGUUUCCAUUUCUCUGGUGUAGUUUCUUUACAAACAAAUCCUGGGGUCUCGUAGUCUCGUGUUAUGGAAAGUGCUUCAUGUGUUUUCCUCUGCUACUGCCAACACUUCUGAAAGAAAAGGCUCCUGGAUUUGAAAUGGAGAUUAGUGACGUUGUGGAACUUUUCCUCUGGGUCCUCAGCUUUGAGCAGUGUUGGGCAGGAAGUGUUUACCGAGUCUUUAUUCAUAAACCCAUUCAAAUAAUCACUCUAGGUGGGGCCUGGUGGCUCAUGCCUGUAAUCCCAGCCCAUUGGGAGGCCAAGGUGGGCAGAUCACUUGAGGUCAAGAGUUCAAGACCAGCCUGGCCAACAUGGCAAAACCUCAUCUUUACUAAAAAUACAAAAAAAAAAAAAACUAAACUCUUAGCCGGAUGUGGCGGUCUUAGCUACUCUGGGGGCUGAGGCAUGAGAAUCGUUCAAUCCCAGGAGGCGGAGGUUGCAGUGAGCUGAGAUUGCACCACUUCACUCUAGGCUGGGCAACACAACGAGACUGUGUCUCACAAACAAAAACAAAAGAUACUCUAUCCAGAAGCAGAAUAGUUAGACUAGCAAUUAGUUAAAGAGAAUAGUCUCCUUAAACAUUAAUUCCUCCCGUUUUAAAACCAGUCUGGGAUCCUGGCACUGAAACAUGUGGUGUUCCCUAGACCACCUGGGCCAGCUGCUGCAGGGAAGAUUCCUUGUCCUUCUGAAUCACAUGUUGUUUCCCAGACCACCUGCCAGCCAGCUGCUGCAGGGAGGGAGGAUUCCUCGUCCUUCUGAACCACACGGCGUUCCCUAGACCACCUGGGCCAGCCAGCUGCUGCAGGGAGGGAGGAUUCCUCGUCCUUCUGAACCACACGACAUUCCCUAGACCACCUAUGCCAGCCAGCAGCUGCAGGGAGGAAGGAUUCUUUGUCCUUCUGAACCACACGGCGUUCCCUAGACCACCUGGGCCAGCCAGGGGCUGCAGGGAGGAAGGAUCCUGUGGUUCUUCCCUGAGCCACAUGUCCAGUCACCAUCUCUCAGCAUCUCACUGGGUCCUGACUGUUGGGUGCACACUGGUGUUGACAUCCAUGCUUUUAGUACAUUCACACGAUUGUGCAACCAUCACCACAAUCUAAUUUUAAUGCGUUUUUGUCAACCCUGAAAGAAACUCCAUACCUAUUAGCAGUCACUGCUCACCCGCACCCAACCUUGUUCUAUUCCCCAGUCCCCACAACACCUGAUGCACUCCCAGUGUCUAUCAUGUGCGUGUUCUGAUGUUUUAUACUGGUGGAAUCUUACAUGAAAACACAGGCUUUUGUGAGAGGAUUCUUUCAUGUAGCAUAAUGUUUUUGAGGUUCACCCACGGUGUAGCACGUACCAAUACUUCAUUCCUUUUUAUUGCUGGGUAGUAUCCCUCUGUAGGACUGUCCCAUAUUUCAUUUAUUCAUUAACUGGUUGAUGGAUAUUGGGGUAGUUUCUACCUCUUGGCUGAUAUAAAAUAUGGUACUGUGAAGAAUCCUGUACAAGCUUUGUGUGGACAUAUUUUAUUUCUCUUGGGUGUGUCCUUAGCAGUGAAGCUGUGGGCCAUGUGGUAUCUUUAUGUUUCGCUUUUUGAGGAACUGCCAGACUUUCUUCCACGAGCCUCCUGACAUCCACAUCCUCACCGGCAACUGCCAUUAGUCUUUGUGACUCUGGCCAUCCCACAGGUGGCAUCUCAUGGUGGUUUCAUUUCAUUUCCUUACUGGGUAAUAAUGUUGAGCAUCUUUUCAUGUGCUAGUUGGCCAUUUGUGUAUCUUCUGUAAAGAAAUGUCUAUUCACAUUCUUUGCCCGUCUUUCAAACCUGAGUUUUUGUCUUUUUGUUGUUGAGUUGUAGGAAUCCUUUACAUGUUGUGGAUACAGGAUCUUUGUCAGAUCUACGAUUGGCAAAUAUUUUCUCCGCUUCUCUGGGUGAUGUGUCCCCUGCUUGAUGGUGUCAGAGGUUCUCCAUGUUGAUGGAGUCUCAUUGAUCUGUGGUUUAUUAGCUUGUUCCCUGCUUCUGUGUCAUCUACAAGAGCCACCACCUGGGGGGCACUUGUCUUAAGGACUGAAGUCACUUCCCACCUUCAGUCAGCCUCCUAUCCUGUGUGUUGUCCCUACUUUCAAAUUAUUCUUUUAAAAGUCGAGUUUUGAGAGUAUACCGUCAUCAUUUGUAGUUUGUUAAGAGUAGAGGUUUGAUGAAAUGUGUCUGGGUUGGGCACCGUGGCUCACACCUGUAAUCCCAGCACUUUGGGAGGCUGAGACAGGUGAAUCACUGCAGGUCAGGAGUGCAACCAGCCUCGCCAGCGUGGCAAAAACCCAUUUCUACUAAAAAUACAAAAAUUAGCCAGGCCUGGUGGCACACACCCCUAAUCCCACUCAGGAGGCCAAGGCAGGAGAAUUGCUUGAACCCAGGAGGCAGAUGUUGCAAUGAACUGAGAUCACGCCACUGCACUCCAGCGUGGCGACAGAGCAAGGCUUCAUCUCAAAAAAUAAAUAAAUAAAUAAAUAAAUAGUGUCUUUAUGAAAACCAUGUUGCCACCAGGUAUACUAGGAAAUGGACUGGCCAUUUCACUUCCUCUCUAGUACUCCUCUGUCUAGACCAACGACCCCUAAUUAGGUGUGAUUUGCCCCUAAGGGACAUCUGCCAAUGCCUGCAGACGGUCUGGUUGUCAAAGCAGGGGCUACUAUCAGCAUCUAGUGGGUGGACAGCAAACACCCCCACCCCAGACCCAGCAGGACCCCUGCGAGGAGCCCCGUGUGUAUGGGACAGCCUGGGGCCUGUCCUCAAGCUUGAUUGUCCCCAUCCUGUUCUGAUUCUGCAGAGAAGGGGGAUGCCUUUGAGAUGAGCCUGUUUGUACGAUUCUUACUUUCCUUUUCCCAGUCUAGGGUAAGAAUAAAACUAUGAUCUUUAUUAAAGGAAACAAAAAAUGCUGAGCAAUAAGUUUGCAAAGUUGUAAGAACUAUUUCUAUGAAGGACACACACAGUUUAUUCCUGGGCUGAUACUUCAGUUCCGAAAGGGUUUCAAACAUAGUUUACCACCAGAUUGAGGUUUAAAAAAACGCAUCUUUUUCCAUCCGCAUGAAGUACUAGUCGGCUUGAUUCUCUGAUUCACUAGUGCACUCUGAUUGGUGAAGGGCCGUUCGUCCUGGAGGGAGCUGCAGUCCCGGACGCUGUGAGGUGAUUCUCCUCCUGUUUUGAGAUUUAAUUAAAGAACAGUGCCACAGGGAUUUAAAUUGUAUAUACAACCAACCCACACAGAACCUGAAUUUAUUCUGAGUGUGGAAUGAAUAUUUGCUGCUUGGAAAGAGCUGGAGGAAGCAAGAGAGAGGAUUUACCUUUGAGAGGUAGAGAAAUCAUGGCAGUUUCUCAUAUUCCUGAAUGUAGGGAUAGGAAUCACAUGCAUCAUAAAUAGGAACAGGAAUAAUAUUUGAGAGCUGAAAUAUCAGCAUGGGAAUAAACUGCGUAUGUGCUAUUGUAAUAUUUAUGAUUUCUGAUUCCUGCCUACCUUUGAAGCACAUGAAGAUAUGUUCAACCUCAUUACCCAGUGAGGAAAUGCAAAGUGAGAGAAAGAAUCUGCCUUUGAGAGAUUCCACGAUUCCCCCUAAACAUUGUGUGUCCCGGUGAGAAACUGACUUCUUCCCUUUAUCUCCAAAGCUACAUGUCUGAGCUUUUCCCUGAGCCCUGUUUCCCCACAGUGGCCAUGGCCGUGGCCGGCACUGCCUGUCAGGCUAAGAGCUCAGCUUCCCUCCAAGCUCAGUAUACCGGGUGGCUGCUCUUGGGUGCUGUCCUUUUCUCAGAGAAAUAGUCCUAGGCCUGCUACCCCUGGUCCAGAAGACCCUUUACCAGCCACUCUGAAAACUUUGGAACUGUAUCCUUUUUUUUUUUUGCUGACUCUGCAGCCUUGAGGCUGGGGACUAGCAGUCUUGGUCCUUCGUCAGGGGUGCGGAUGAUGUGCCUGCCCGUGGGACACUUCUGCUUUCCAGCCUCCUCUCCUGCUGGCCUCGGUGAUAGCAAGCUGCUGACUCAUCCCUGGGCUCAUGGAGCUGCAGUCUUGGGAGGGUGCUGGGCAGGGGUGCCCAGGGCACAGCCAGGCUCCCGGAAUCCCAGUGCUGAGCCUGCCCAGGGUUCCCAGCUUUAUAGGGUCACAGGCAGGGGCCAGAGCACAGGAUUAGAGCAUCCUUGAUGGCUGGAGCCCACCCGACCCCAGGGGCAGCCCCUGCCACCAAAGACAGGAGAGGGGAGCAGAGCGCCAGUGCAGUGCUUGGGACGGAGCCCACCUGUCAGGACCUCCCCCACUCUGCGGAGCUGCUCUGCAGCUCUGGAGAUGCUCUUCAGCCCUCAGCUCUGGUCCUCAUGUGACAGCUUCCAGAGAAACGAGUUCUCCGGGCUCCAGCCAUAGCCUCAUGGGAAGAUGGCUUCAAAUUUCCUGAUUCUGGCUGAAGGCAGAGGUAGUGAGAGCAGCAACCUAUGGCACCUUCUGUGGAGUUGGAUCUGAUGAGCACUUUGUAUCAUGAACCUUCUUUCUACUCCUUUCUCCAGAAGUUGUCACACGAGGACUGAAGGGGAGGGGUAAAUAGCAACUUCAGAAUAUUAAAAACUUCCUUGAUUCCUGGGAAUCGACUAGUCAGACCACAAGAAACCUGAAAGGGCAGGUGGUGGAAUGACAGGGAGGGAACAAGGGCAGUUGAAAAUGGAGGUAGGAAGGGAGACAAAGGCAGCUUUGACCUGGAAAGCGACUCACACAGCAUGGGUGCGUCUCCUGAACGUGUGAGAUGUCGUGACACAUUGCAAGGACAGAUUGGAGGGCCCGAUUAGGGAUUAGCCAUGAAAAUGCAUCUUCCAUUAUUAGAGCAGAUAACUGUCCUUCAGCUGCUGGGGCUGGAGAUAAGGAGGCCCAUGGUGGGCAUGUGGGUCUGCAGGGAGCCUUCCCUGGAGAGGCCGGGGGCAGGCCGGGUAGCUCUCAGGAGAAUGGCGGGGGAGAGUCCCUCCAUGUGGAUGCUUCCGUUACCUGUCUCUUGAUCUCAGUCUAUAAGUUGGCAAAUGUAAGACCUGCCCUCUUCCUGAAUUAAAAUAGCAGUCCUCCCACGGUGAUCCUGGUAAGUUUAGAUUCUAUAAUGUGCCUUAUUUUCCAAAGAAAAUUGUUAGUUCUGUGACAUGUUUUUCUGGAAUUAUCCUAAUGAGUAGUUUUGAAUCCUGCCUGUGCUGAGAGUCACCUGCGAGGGUGAAAACCAGGGAGCAAGAAUCUCGAGGGUGCAGGACAAGCUCUGCAGGCCCUUCUGAGGCCGCCGCCCUGGGCCAGCCCAGCACUGCAGAAUCAUGGACUCAAUCCCCUCAGCAAAACCCAGUCCAAGCCAGGUCCUGCCACACUGCAGGGCUGUGAGCAAGGUCCUGCCCCACGCAGGGCUGUGCUGUGUCUUCACUUUCACAGGUGUGCAGAGUCAUUCUCCUGGUAUCUUCCCAGGCACUUUUGGGAAAUGGUGUAGAAUGUAAUGAGGGCCCGCGAGUCACCUAGUGCAGGUGCCAGCCUUGGGCUCUAGUUUGUAGGGGACAGUAUUUUCAGAGGAAGGAUCAAGAAAAGAAUUGCUUUAUUUUAAUUUUAUUUUUUUGCGACGGAGUCUCACCCUUGUUUCCCAGGCUGGAGUGCAGCCUGCAGUGCUCACUGCAACCUCUACCUCCUGGGUUCAAGCAGUUCUCCUGCCUCAGCUUCCCUAGUAGCUGGUAUUACAGGUGCCCACCACCACACCCAGCUAAUGUUUUUUAUAUUUUUGGUAGAGCUGUGCCUUCACUAUGUUGACCAGGCUGGUCUUGAACUUUUAACCUCAGGUGAUCCUCCCGCCUCAGCCUCCCAAAGUGCUGGGAUUACAGGUGUGAGCUACUGCACCCAGCCUGGUGUGUUUUAAUCUUAUACCAAACACACAGCACUAAUUCUGUGCCAGGCACUUUGUAAGUAUUAACUCACUUCAUCUUCUUGAUAACAACAAGGGGUACUAUUAUUCUCACUCUUGUACAAAUGAGGAAACAGAGGCACAGACGAAUUAAGCCGCUUACCCUUGUUCACACAGCUGGUUGGGGUGGGGUGGGAUUGGUGCCUCGGCACCUGGCUCCAGAAUGCUGUCACCUCUGGGCCCUGUGGACUGGGGGCUGGAGCUUCUUCUGAGGGUUUCUUUGCCUACUCACUGGAAUCAGGUGUUCUUCUUCACUGUGUUUAACCUCGUGUUUAAAUUAAAAGUUUGUGUGAUUGGCCCUUUUCUCAAGAAUUACUAAACACGUUUUUAACUUGAGUGGUCACCAAUAUAUUGAAUAAUAACUGCUGUGUGGAAGGUUAGGAAGGGCGAAAGGACAUACACAGUAGCUGGCACGGUUGUUCCUGCUUCGUAUUGCUACAACACAAAUGAUUGCAGAGCUUAGCACUGGGGCAGCAGCAGCAUUAUUAGGUCUCGGGGUUUGGAGGGUUGGGAUUCAGGCAGCGCUCAGCAGUGGUGGUGCCAGCUAGGUGCUGCUCUCACAGGCAGCGCUCAGCAGUGGUGGUGCCAGCUAGGUGCUGCUCUCACAGGCAGCGGAGGCCUCUGGGUGGCCCAGGUGCGGCUGGGCCGGGGGAGCGGCUGGAAAACUGCCCCACAGGGCUCCCGUCUCCAGCGGCCUUGGGGCCUCCCCAGGCAGACUCCCCUGCAGAGCAAUCAAACGUCCCACAUGAUGACUCGAGGCCACAGUGGAAGUGGCCGGUCCUCAUCAGGGUCAGGCCACGUGCCAGCACAGUGCCAAACCCAUCCCACCAUGUUGGCAGAACCACCAGGGCCAGUCCAGUUCCAGGCAAGGGAAACGGGGUGUCCUCUCCAUGGGACAAGUGUCCAACCCAGGCAGCCCUCCUUCACCCCUCACACUGAGAGGCACGCGUUCGAUUCUGAACCGGAGGCUGUCAGCUGAGUAGCAUAAACCAUCACUGCCAUUCCAUAACGCACACUCACAGUGCUCUUCCAUUUUGAUGUGUCCAAAUCAAAGUUGGAAGGAUUGCCAAGGUUAGUGAUACAUUGGAUUGAACCCUCCGUAGGCAUUCAGGUUUCAUAUUCAGAUCAGUGUUCUGUGCCCGUUGCCUCCAGAGGCCAGCGGUCCCCUGAGACCAGCAGGGGCUUCAUGAUAAUGUUCACCGCACAAUUUGCAGCCUAAUAUAUGGUGCCUAAUCUCAUUUCAGCUCUUCGCCUCAUCUCCGCCGUCGGAUUGUAAUACUGUUUUGUAUAGGAAGUGCCAUUCGUGCAGUGUGCACGUUUUUAUGGGUGACUGGCUCCUGUGCACUGAAAACCUCCUGUUCUGAGGACGGUAAACGGAGCUCCUCCAUGUGGGUAUUCAAGGUUCACACACACUUCAAAACAACAUCAGCCAUUUGCCGCUUGCGUUUCGGCAGGUUUCUUCUCUCUGCUAUACUCGAAGAGGGGCUUGCAUAUCAAAAUCAUGUGGCUGCACCCUCAACCCAACUCUCUCCCUGGUCCUGGGGGCUGCGGUGUCCCCCCAAUCAGCCCGCUUCUCUUGGAGGAGGGACCCACCUUCUGGCUGCCGUCUGGAUGUGCCAGACAUCCUCUAGGCCAGUGAUGGACGUUUUGAUGGAAACCUAAUUUUAUUAGAUAUUUCAUUAUCCUUUUAAGAGGAGUACUAGUGUUUUCUCUUAUCAAUUCCAUUUUAACGUUAGCUAUAACAAAAACAUAGUUUAAUGGUUUGUGCAAAAAUUUACUCAUUUUGCUCCAAAGUAAUUAAUAAAUGGGCCCUGUUUGAGGCAGAAACCACACCUCCAGAAAGUUAUUCCAUCCCUUGGAGACCCUUCCAGACAAAAAGGGCAGGAGAGUAGAUACUUCAGCAAUUCCACCUGCCGUGAGAGAAGACCCUUUCUCCUCCGUUCUGUAUUGCGGAGAGGGGGAUUGAGAUAUUACAAGCUCUAUCAGAUAGUCUGUUUCUAUAUUUACAGGUUCCUUUUACCUGCAGUGUCCUCUUUAAACACCCACAGUUUAUUUUUUAAUAAAGAUAGUAUUACCUAGAACUUGUGGAUCAUCUAAACACGAUCUAGUAAACUUAUCACAGGUGAAUUAAAAGUUCCGUCUGCAGGUUUCUCUUUAGCGCUGUGAUGUUUACAUGAAUGUUUCUGACUGGCCCUGGGCAACCCAUGCAGGCACUGCCAGCGGUGCUCCGGCAGCCAUGCAGUUACGAGCCGCACCGCACCGAACUGAGGCUGAGGAAUGCAGGCCUAUAGUCUUGUUGACCGAAGAGAAAGAAUUCUACAAAACUGUGAUAUGUAGGACUUCGGCCCUGUAGUCUCUGACUCCCGUGGAGAAGCCAGCUUAGAAACCUGUCCAUUUCCCUUGAGACCACGGCUUCUGAGUCCACUGUCAGCACAAGCCUCAUGGCCUUCUCCAGAAGCUGCCAAGCCCAAAAGUGGAAGAAAGAGAAAAAUCAGUGGCCCCACGCGGGCACCAUAUAUCUCCAAGGACCCCCCAGACUGGGGGGCUGCAAAGUCCUCAGACCUCUCUCCACAUCAGAAGCAACGCUUUCUGUGAUCUGUCCAGGGGUUUAGUCUCAUCUGUGAGCUAAAGACCCUGCGCGUGUGUACAGAAUGGUGAGACUAACAGAGGAGAAUCUGAAAAAAAGAGAAAGCUGGGUGAACUUUCGCAGACGAACUCAGAGGACAACGAAGUGUUUGAGCAUACAUAAAAUAGAUGUGGUGAUGCCCACUGCUUCAGUAUCUUAAGUGUCCAUGAAAAUCAGCAUAACCCAGAGGCCCAGAGACUGAAAGCAACGAGGACUCCUUGCCUAGAAAUGAGACAGGCAAGUGCGAAGGGACUCGGUGCUCCGCCUAUUUCUGCGUACUGUGUGAUGAUCUCUGUGGGGAUGUUCACUGCCUUCAGGAAGUAGGGUUGCUGUCCUUAGUGGCAGAGGAAGAAGCAGCAGGAGUUGAAGGCAGCCGCGUCUGUGACUAGGAGCAGCAGCGUGCACUCUGCAGAACACUGAGGGUUUCCUAGAAUAGAUAAGCUGUGAGUUUGAAGGCGACGUCCCAGCCUUGAUGAUUUUAAGAAUAAAUCUGCCUCUAAAAGUCUAGAAUAAAAAUUCCUUUAGAUGAUCUCUUUACUCAUAUAUUUCAGCUACAUAUAUAAAGACAUAAUAGAAAAGCAUGAAGACAAAUGUCCAAUUUUAGGUUUUACACAUAAAGAAAAUUGAGUUCUAAAAUUAUUUUGGCUAAGCCUACUGAUUUUUUAAACCAAGCAUCAUCUUUGUCAUUAUCCCCCUUGCUAAUUACCUUGAAAAGUAUUAGUCACAGUGGCAGCAGUUCCGUUACCAUCCAGUGCACACACACACACACACACACACACGUAUGUGUAGGUGUAUAUGCAGCACGGAUACAAUAGAAUAUAAAAAGUUCUUCUAUACUCAGCCCUUUCCAUACACUGUGAAGAUGACGUAAUUCCUGAAGCCCUUCCACACGCAGCCCCCCUUAACCUUUUCAGAGAGGUAUUUGGUUUAGAGAGUUACUAUUUAGGGUUCGAUGUGAACACUACUGGAAGUGAUGGAAAUGCAGACGAUGUCCAUCGUUUCACAAACUUGGCUUGUCUUUUGAUAGGAAGAGCAAUCCUUCCGCCUGUCGUGUUGACUGAGAUGGUCCCAGGUCCUUGGAUGCCAGAGCAAGGCACACCUAUCUGCUGAAUGAGCUCAGCGCUCACAUUCCAAGCCUCUCCACCCGUGAGUGUGACGAGGAAGCAGAUCCCUAGUCACCUUCAGGCCUUUGCAGCUGAUGCCUGAUUCAGGCUGAGUCAGAACCAAGGGGGAAGUGGGAGGAGCUCGCGGUCUGAGGUGUCCUCAUUUCCUCUAACCGUGGGGGAGGCUGGCCCAGGAGGCCUCUGCACUCCUCAGCUUGUGAGCAACAAUCUCUACUGAUGCCGACCUGGAAGGGCCUGUUGAGCUGUGGGGAGUUUGCUUUUGACCUUAAUAAUUUCCCAGCCUCUAUCCUUUCCUGGAGCACAGAGAACUCUACUCUAAAUGUGCAGAGUGCUGAAGGCAAGGAAACCAAAUAACCUAGGCUGUUAAUCCUGACUGUAAGCCUUGAAGACAUAUAUGCAAUUUCUUUUUAAAUUAUAACGUAAUGUACAAAGUUACUCUAAAUGAGAGCAGCGGCUCCCUCCCACUUUGCAAAAAGGUAUUUCCUUGACAGGGUAGUAAGUCCCAUAAGUAUGUUAGGAAAUCACUCUUGAUAUCCCGUGAGUACUAGUCAUCCAUGCUCGGUUCUUGGAAACUGUUUCAUCCAUGCAUAAAAAGAAUGAGCGAGGAAUGUGAUUCAUGUGCAGAAAGCCAUAAUCCUUAGCUGACUACCUCUGCAGGACACCCAUGCCUGAGAUCUCUGUGAAUGUCAGAAGGCAGCAGUGUCUGAUAAGAGGGUCCCCCGGAGUGAAGACUGGAGUGGCGUGUUGAGAAGUUUGUUCCAGGCACUGACUCUGGCACAGAUGACAUCACUGUGGUUCACACACUGAGUGCCUAGAAGCAGGCAGCCUUCCUGCCCGUCUUCGUGACGCCCGAGCCGAUCAUUUUCAGGGCAAUGCACUUUGAGGUUUUAGCUACCCUUCCUCGCCUGGUAAAAAGCCCACCAAAGGGUUGUUUUCAAUCUAAGCAAACAACUCGUUAGAGCGCAGGUUCAGAUACCGUCGGUGAUUUUUUUCUUUUUCUUUUUGACAGCUUUGUGGUUAUGCCUAGUUUUGCCUAGUUACAAAAGCAGGAAGAAAACAGUUUCAGGCACGACAGCCUAGAGAACUGGGUGUUGCCAGCGCUCUGGGGAAGCAGCAGGUCAUUUCGCGGUAGACCAAUUGCUGCUGAGCGUUUUCUGGCCCACCCACACAGGCAGUGUACACGCUGUCCUCCUCCUUAGAAACCAGGCAGGAAGGAGGGCAGAAGUCAGUCUCCACCUCUCCUCCUGCUGGAGCUGACUGAUACUGGGGCUGAACUAAAGGCAGGCAAUUCAGCUGAAGUGAGGGAAGUUUUAGGUCUCCCUAAAUUAUACUAAGGAAGGAGAGGAGUGACCAAAAGAGGGCGCUGCUACCCCAGAACUGAGUGUGGUUCUUCUGAGCUGCGACAGGCAUCUCAGGCGGGGCUGGAAGCACGUGCACUCCGUGUCACACGUGAGCUGGCUCCCUCCACACGUGCCGCAGAGGAAGGAUGUCCUCCUGUGAAAAUACCACCAUCCUGCGUCUGUGUUCACUCUGUCCACUUCAUGGGGCCAAGGCCUGUGUGUACAGCACGUAAGGGCAAAACCUGGUGAGGAGUCAUGAGGAAAGUGUUCACUACAUUGCUCAAUGGAGAUAGAAUUAUCUGUGUUUAAUGUUUAUUUUUAAAAUGUCUAUCCCAGAAACAUUUAAGCACAUAUAUUCGUGUGUGUGUGUGUGUGUGUGUGUGUGUGUGGUUUUGCUCUUCUUUGCUUUAUAAAGCUUGAGUUAGUUGACAACACACCAGGAAACAGUAAAAUAUAAAUAAAGUAGAGACAUCUAGAUGAGGUGAAGUGAGACCACAGACACAUCAGCCGUGGAGCGGUGACUGCAGGGAGCCACACGUCUAGCUCUGAGCUGCCCAGCGGCCCCGGAGGAAGGGGACCCCAGCCAGCCUGACGUUGCUCACUUUACACAGCAGGUGGCAGAGCCCCGCCGCCUUUCCGCCGUGUGCUUUUGGCAGUGACUUGGUUUCCCUUACGUAAGUAGGUAAUCAUAGAAGGGCAUGUGAGUAAUAAACAGGUUACUGCAUGUGCACACAUGGGGCUCUCCCCCCUCCUGUCCGUGCUCUUUGGCUAGUAUUUUCAGAGAGAAGACUGCAGACAUUUUUUGAAGGAUACAGAGCUUUGUUUAACAAAUGCUAAGAAUUUUUCCUGCUUAAGUUCUUAUCACAGGUGAAGAGUCACAUGGUAGUCAGUGACCUCAUGGUAUUUUUAUAGCGCAGGGCCUGUGAGCCACGUGGACACCAGGCCAGGUACACGAAGCAGCCAUGGUGUCUUCCCCAAAGCCUCUGCAGACCCCGCCCUGGGCACACAGGGUCCCUGAUAACAGGGAAUCCACUCCCAGCGGCCUCGCUGCCAUGCGCUGGCACAGAUGCACGCAGGUGCUGCCCGCCCUCGUUCACGCCGUGAGUGGAGCACAGCACGCUUAGCCUUUCUAAAAUUCCAGCAGCUGCUCUAAAACCCUAAUUAUUCCAGCCAGCCUUCUAGAACCGCUGAGUUUCUGGGAAUAUCUGGGUUGGCAAGGUCACAGGUCACCAGGUGUGCUGGGAAAGACAUUUCCAGUGGGGCUGCAAUCCUCCAUGUGAAUGAAAUUUUCUUUUCCUGACCUCACUGUCUGCAGUGAGGGCUUCCUGAUGUAGUUUACCUGAAAACAGAACAGCGGCAAAACCACCUUGUCUGCAGGAAAAAUGGAAGUUAUACUCUGAAAGAUAGCAGCCCACCAGCAGAUGUGAAAAGACAUUACUAGUAGAGAAGAGACUGCGAGAACAAGAGUGAGAGCCAGAGAAGGAAGGAAACAAGAGGAUGGGAGCCCAUUUUCCGCACAGUUGAUCUUUCCCGGCAGCCAGGGAGGAUGGCAGGAGUGACAGUGGGCCAGGCGGGAGCAGCCACCCAUGCAUCUCCCGGGUCAGGGGCUGGGCUUUAAGGAUGAGGGUUGUAGAGGUUUACGGUAAUGCACCCCUACUCUGGGUAUUUCAUCAAUUAGUAUAGAGCCACUGCCUCCCAGGGCAGGACACUCUGCACCAGCUCGGCUCAGCUCAGCUCCUCCCUGCCUCUCAGUUUUGCUGACCCUGCUGCUCCCACACGGAGGCCGCCUGCUCUUUUCUCUGCCACAGAAUGCGAUGCACACACGCAGGGCCAGGCGCUGCCGAUCCCAGGUCUCCAUCCACGAUGCGCUGCCCCGAAGGCUCUCUUCUCCCAACUCCCGGCCUCCCAAAGCAAACUCAUUAUUACUUCUCAUGGUUUGCAUGCCUAUAUGAUACUGAAUUCCAUAGAAUGUUUCAUUUAAAUGUGUGUGUAUGUGCAAGUCCCUCACCUUCUCCUCUGGGCUUUCUGCUCCAAAGCUGAUUUUCCCAAUAAUAUAAAAUGAUCAUCUGGAGAACACAGUACCAGAGCGGGAGAAGUGAAGGCUCUGUGCCUGGUGAUGCCUCCCUGCCGCUAACAGGAACUGAGCUUGAGCUUUCCCCUUAUCCAGGUACAAAAUGAGGUGCUGUUUCUAUGUCUUUGUUGAGAGCACUGAUCGCUGAUUGUGCCAAGUACCUAGGGAAGCUCCCGUGCAUAGCAAGGACCUCUCCCAGCACCAAGAGCCAGACCCUUCUUUGCCCACCUUGGUUACUAAGUGGGUCGCUCCCUCCAUCCUGAUCUGUCCCCAUCUCUUAUCCCUGCCCAAAGCCCACCUGUUCCCCGGGGACCGCUCCAAAGGCAUCUCCUGCGGCCCCUCCCUCCUGCAGCUUCCUGGGUGUGACUGGAGCACAGGCUCUGCCCUCCUCCCUCAGUCUCUUGCCCAGAUAUCCAGAGGUGAGCUCUUCGCUCCGCGUCCCUUCUCAGUGACAUCUCCCACUUAGAAGUGCAGCUGUGUCAGCACAGGUGGGCUCUGACGUUGCUCACUUUACGCAGCAGGUAAAGUGUGGGCCUGCCAGAGGAACUCCUAAAUCAGAAGCUCAAGGUGAUGUCCACUCACGUCUCAGCUCAGCGAGGGCCAGGCGGCUCUCCCUCCAGUGCACCUGGGAGAGCCCCGUGGCAUCCACAUAGAGCCUCCACCAUUGGAGGGCAGGACAGGGAGGGACUGGGAGGAGAGCCCAAGGGCUAAGCGCCCUGCAAGCCAGGCUGAGGGGCAGUCAUCAUGUCCACUGAGUUCUGUUGGCCAGAGCGUCACAUGGCACCACCUGGAGGAGAGGCCCGAGAGGAUGAAGGACGCAGAGCGGGGCGGUACGGUCACCUCUGUCACACUCCCUAAUUACGUUGCUUAUUGUCUGAGCCCCCAUCCUGGAUGGAAAGUGAGCCCUGUGAAGGCAGGGACAUCUGGCUGUUUGUUCACUCAGAUAUCCCAGCACCUAGACGCAGGCUCGGCUCAGGGGAGGGGCUUCACCAGUAUUUGCUGGGUGACUGAGUGACAGGUGGGACACCCCUCGUCCUUGCUGCCCUCUCCUCUCCUGUCUCAAAGACUUGGUUUGCACAUGGCAGAGUUCCACAUAAAGUGCCAGCAGACAGUGUGCCUGAGGCCUGAACUCUUCCCUGUAAGGAAUGCUGGCCCAGUGCUACAGCAUAGCAGGUGAUGCGUGGAGGUGCCCACAGCUCGUGCGUUGGAGUGUGUGUGUAAGAGUGGCUGUGAGCGCUUUGUGAGGCACGCGCGCAGCAUGUGGGGUGCACGCUAUAGAAAUGCUGCUCCAACUGACACAAUGUCCCUGGAACUCCAGAGUUGCCUUUGUUCUUUGAAAUCAGGGUGAGACUCUGAAGCCACAGCCAGCCCCUGUUGUGGAGCGUGCUGGCUUACGCUGGCGCCUUGGCUGCAGGGGCUGAGGACAGAGCUCAGUCCUGGCCAAGCCGAGCGUGCAGAUGUCCAGCUUCUGAGUGCCCCUCGGCUGUACCUGCAGUGGGGCCCCUGCCCACCCCUCCCCUGAAGCAGGCACCGUGAGGACAGGUGCAGGGAAGUGGGAAGCAGUCGAGUCACUGCAGGUGCGGCCACCCUCAGCCAAGACUCCCAACAAUAAGCCAUCUGGUGUUGCGCUCCCCGGAGACACUUGAGCCUGGGCUAUCCCCCUCUCUGCUCCUGGGUAGCCACGCUGGCCUAUCAAGGGGACACAGCAUUGGUUGGCUGUUUGGGGGGCCUUUUAGCAGGAAACCAAAAGUUCCCCCCUUUCAAAUGAUCCCGGGCCAGCAGCUGAGACCUAGCAUGGCUCACACCCAUGUUCCCCAAAGCCUUUGCACUGGCUCCGCAGGAGGGAGCAGGUUAGGAUGGGAAGGGCAUAGUGCCCACUGGGACAGUGCUCCUGAGGGCCACCCGGAUGGGGGCUCCUGCUGAGUGGAGAGGAGUAGGGGCUCGGGGACUUAGGCCCGGUGUUGCUGGGUGGGUAGGGUACUUCCCAUCGGGAGUCACAAUCCCAAGGCAAGGAUGGGGGCCCUGUUCCUGCAGGGGAUCGUCCUGGUGGGCCAGUGGGUGGGUUGGGGACGCUGCUCAGUAGGCCCUCAGAGCUUGCUGGGCUGUACGGUGAGCGCAAACACUCAUCAGUCACAGCCGCAUUCGCUUCAAGUUUGUUUCCUGUGCACUUACCCCUAAGCGAUUCUGGCCUUCAAAAAUAAACAGGCACUGCUGAGAGUCACUUAGGGUCAUCAGAGGCACAAUGGGACGACUGACAGACUCCCAGAACAAAGAGGGAAUAGAAACCUGACAAUCGCACAAAUAGCAGCUGUGAUGGGCUCUGGCCAGUGGGGUGGCCGUGGGUCCAGCUCAGGGCCCGGGGAGCUCAGACAAAGGGGUUCCUGCUCAUGGGUGCUCCGUGCAGACACCCCGUUGUCUUGCCCCCCAGUCAGGACGCUGCUGAUCACGGUUGGGGCUUGGAUUCCAACGUGAAAGCACCUUUAUUUGGUUUCCAUGAGUAAAAGUUGCCACCUGUGAUUUCCACCUCACAGCCGGGAUUCGUGAUUAGGACUCGGGGCUCUGGCGUGUGGCUGUCAGAUCGCCCCUGCUCCUUCCCCCGUUCCUGGUCGGGGGACUUGGGCAUGUCGGAGGAAGACGCCGGCUCGGAGGGCACAGUCUCAGGCAGGGCAGCUUGCACUCAUGGGCCUUCUCCAGCCUCCUCCUCCUCUUCCAGUGGUGCCACGAGGGUUCACCUUAACCUUUUUUUUAAGAUGCCUUUUUUCCCCACUCGUUCCAGUGACAGAAGGGCAUGUCUCUGAGUUUCUCAGACAAAUCCUUCAGGAGCUGAGCCUCACUUCCACCAAGAACAUUUUAGCAUCAACAUUGUGUAAGUUGAAGAAACAGGGUAUUAAAAAAAAAAAAAAAAAAGGAGAAUUCAGCACCCUGUGACAUGCAGGAUGAGCAGAGCACACCCUGACUCACGUCCUGCGUCUGGUCUUCAGGCAUCAGACCGAACGCCGUCGCUCUCACACCACUGCUUUCCACAGUAAUCCCAGCUUUUCUUCUUCUCCCCAGAAGGUGUUAAAUUGAUGUGUCAGGAAAGGAAGGCUGUUAGUGAUGCUUUCCUUCCACACGUGGACAAACCCUCAACUCUUCUUAGUGAGUAGAGAGUUCAGUGGAGGUCGGGUCCUAGCUUCAGCCCCGAUUCUGUGCUGGGUCUCAGUUUUGGUGUGGCUGCUGCAGAGGCCUUUAGACCCUGACCUCGACCCCCUUUGGGGGAGCCCAGUCCAGAGACCCAGAAGCAGCCCCAGGUAGGCUCUGUUGGGCAAAUCCUCCUUAACUGUUCAACUGUUAAUUCACUGUCUGAGCCAGGCCGACAGGGGUGGGUAGAUUUUAAAAUAAACAAUGGGUGUCACCAUUUAAGCUGACGUAAUGUUCUUAUUAGAGGGGCACAAAGCAGCUGAGACACGUUCACAUCAUCCGCCAACAAGUGGAAUGUGAGGGACUCGUGGCAGUUUAGGCAGUGAAAUGGGAAUGCUUCAUGAGGUUGAUUUUGUAUCUGGGCCGUUUUUAUGUCAAGGCUGCAAUAAAGUCAUUUUCCACCCUAAUAAAAUUGACACCAGAGGCUCUAAUUAAAACUUACCUAGAAGCUCUCCUUCUCCUCCUCUUCCUCUGACAGGAAGACCCCCACCUGGAUAGUGGAAUCUUACAUGUUAUUUUACCUAAAGGUUGCCAUCACCUAAAUCUUUUUAUUAAAAUUACAUCUUCAUGUUACAUUUAUUUUUUCCUGGAAUCUUCAUUAAUAACCAAAAAUACCAAUGCAAAUAUUAUAAUUAAUGGUCCCCAUGACUAGGACUUGAUACUGUAAUAAUUUGUCCUAGGUCGGGGAGAGAGUGGCAGGGAGCUUCCCUUGAGAUAAUUAAGACACGCUCCUUAAUACAAAGGUAAUGGGGCUGGGUACAGUGGCUCACACUUGUAAUCCCAGCACUUUGGGAGGCCAAGGCAGGAGGAUCACCUGAGGUCAGAAGUUCAAGACCAGCCUGACGAUAUGGUAAAACCCCAUCUCUACUAAAAAUACAACAUUAGCCAGGCAUGGUGUGCUCGCCUGUAGUCCCAGCUACUCAGGAGGCAGAGGCAGGAGAAUUGCUUGAACCCAGGAGGCGGAGGCUGCAGUGAGCUGAGAUGGUGCUACUGCACUCCUGCCUGGGCACUUCAGUCUGAGUGAGACUCCAUCUCAAAAGAAACUAACUAACUAACUAACAUAACAAUUACUUCUAAAAUGCUUUUCUGUACUCUAGGGAAACUUUUUUAGUGAAAAUGCUGUCCAUCUUUCUCAAAGCAAGAAACUUUCAACUACAAUGAAAUGAGAUUUCACACACACAUGCAUACGCUCACCGUCAUACACUCAGCAUUUGCACACACUUGCGUAUUCACACACACACACACACACACACACACACACAGUACCACCUGCAACCGCAUUGGUGGCAGUCACCCAGACACUUGCACUCAAGAUUCAGGGACUGUUGUGCAGAGGUGGUACAGGUGCAGGGUGGGGGGAAUCACACUGACGCAAGGUGCUGAACCAUGCAGAGGCUCGUCUCCCGCGGGCCCAGCGGGGUUGCGCUGGUGGACGUCUUCAUGGUAGUUGUCCUGCAGGCCACUGCUUGCCUGUUCCUAAGGAAAAAUGGGCUUUAAUAAUUUCAGUAAGAUUAACAGGAUGGAAUCUCCUAAGAAUUUCCCUGGUAUCGUAGAGCAAAAUAUUGCCAUUUUUUUUUUUUUUUUUUUUUUUUUUUGUAAAAAUGAUGAGAAGGAGCAUUUACACAGCUUGGAUGUUACUGCCACUGUUUCUCGGUUGGCGGAUCCAGUGGUGGCUCUUUUGGUGCAGAGGGGUCUGUCUAAUUCUUUCCAGGGAUGCUCUCAAAUCCUCAGAAUCAUUCUUGUUCACUUCACUUAAGAUUGAGGCCAGGCGCAGUGACUCACGCCUAUAAUCCCAGCACUUUGCGAGUCUGAAGCUGUCAGAUCACUUGAGAUCAAAAGUUCGAGAUCAGCCCGACCAACAUGGUGAAACCCCAUCUCUACUCAAAAUACAAAAAUUAGCUGGGUGUGGUGGCAUGCACUUGUAAUUCCAGCUAUUCAGGAAGCUGAGGCAGGAGAACCACUUGAAUCCGGGAGGCGGAGGUUGCAGUGAGCCGAGAUCACGCCAUUGCACUCCAGCCUGGGUGACAGAGCAAUAAUCCAUCUCAAAAAUAAUAAGUAAAUAAAUAGAACAUUUUAGUCAGUAGUACCCCGAGGUGCGGAGCUCAGUUAUGGCAAUGAAGAAGGAACGACCCUGGUAAACAGGGCUGAUACUGUGGCAAGCCACAGACUUCGGCGAAAUUCGUAUGCGGGGGAAGCAUGUAACCUGACAUUUAACAUGUAAAUAGCAAGCUAUUUUGUGUUUCAGAGCUUUAGUUUCUCUCCAAAAAUUAUCUUAAAAUACUCAGUUUUGGCAU